rnacentral:rRNA from 1 species
UCCGGGGGGGGCAAGCGUUGUUCGGAAUUACUGGGCGUAAAGGGCUCGUAGGUGGCCAACUAAGUCAGACGUGAAAUCCCUCGGCUUAACCGGGGAACUGCGUCUGAUACUGGAUGGCUUGAGUUUGGGAGAGGGAUGCGGAAUUCCAGGUGUAGCGGUGAAAUGCGUAGAGAUGUGGAGGAACACCGAUGGCGAAGGCAGCCCCCUGGGAUGACACUGACGCUCAUACACGAAAGCGUGGGGAGCAAACAGG